UGUGCGAAACGACUGUCAAAAAUACGUCGUCAAGGUCACAGGCAUUACUAUCCAAGGGAAGAUGAAUCGAUUCAACGAAGUGCGCAUGCGCCCCACCAAAGUUUUAAACCACUGGCGCCGAAAUGGCGGAUCAGCAGCCAAGCGCUCACACCUCGUCUCAGGAAGCUUGUGUUGGGGAGGAUUCGAUGUCUAUUGAGGCACAUGUGAAUGUGUUAUAAAGUGAGUAUCAGAAACACAUCCAGACACAUGGACUGUCAGAGACCACACGGCAGGAACAUGCUCCUGGAGACGCUGAGAAAGCACGGAAGGAAUGUCUGAGGAGGAUGCACUCAAAAAAAUACACAUACUUAAGGACACCUGCUGGAGGGGACCCGGCUACACCUUUCCUACCAUACACCUGAUGGAUACUGACUGUAAAAUGGCAAUCACAGGAGGAGGGCUCAGUGUGGUGACAGAAGAUGGAAUAGAUGUGUGCCAGUGCACCAGCCUUGAUGAAGCCUUCAAACAGCCUUUUGGAUGUAUUUUGCUUUCAACAUUGCAUAUCCACCACACCUGAGAAAGACACUGACUUUCCUUCAGAGGCACAUUGUGAACAUUAGAAGAUGGAGACAAGCACUGUCAGUAACUUUACUCUGAAUGAUUUGCCUCUUGUGUUAGAUCCUCAUGCCUUGACUGUACCAUUGCCCAAAGUGCACUCGAAGGACAUUCACUCUUCUGAAGUUAAUCCAACAUGUUGGAGUGGUACAUGCACAUGAACCAAAUAACUUGCUCUAUUCUUU